AACGAACGCUGGCGGCAGGCCUAACACAUGCAAGUCGAGCGCCCUUUCGGGGGAGCGGCGGACGGGUGAGUAACGCGUGGGAAUAUGCCCUUCUCUACGGAAUAGCCUCGGGAAACUGAGAGUAAUACCGUAUACGCCCUAUGGGGGAAAGAUUUAUCGGGGAAGGAUUAGCCCGCGUUGGAUUAGGUAGUUGGUGGGGUAAUGGCCUACCAAGCCGACGACCCAUAGCUGGUUUGAGAGGAUGAUCAGCCACACUGGGACUGAGACACGGCCCAGACUCCUACGGGAGGCAGCAGUGGGGAAUCUUAGACAAUGGGGGCAACCCUGAUCUAGCCAUGCCGCGUGAGUGAUGAAGGCCUUAGGGUUGUAAAGCUCUUUCAGCUGGGAAGAUAAUGACGGUACCAGCAGAAGAAGCCCCGGCUAACUCCGUG
rnacentral:rRNA from 1 species